UGGAUUAAUAAAAAACGGCGAGGAUUGGAAGUUUCUGACCAAUGCCCUCUCUGUGCGAUGGAGCCGGAGGACACAUUUCAUGCCUUUUGCAGAUGUCCCAGGGCGGUGGCCCUUUGGCAAGCGAUGGCAGAGCAAUGGCGAAUUCCUGCUGCUACGACAUUCCAUCGGACGGGCACGCAGUGGCUCGCCCAAACUCUUUGUGACCUGCCUGACACGGAGAGGAUGGAACUCAUGAUGACCCUUUGGCGCUGCUGGUACGUGCGCAAUGAAAUGACGCAUCAUAAGCAGCCUCCUCCGGUUGAAGCGUCCAAGAGGUUCCUUCUCAGCUACGUUGAUUCACUCGUGGGCACCCAAAACAACCCGAGUGCAGACCCGGCGAAAGGCAAACAAGUGGUUGAUGUGGUGACGCCCAGCAAGCCUGUACCACAUGCUCGGGUUGCGGACGAGGCGCGAUCACGAUGGACUCCUCCAGCGGAUGGGUGGACCAAACUCAAUGUCGACGGAUCGUUUUGCGCCUCCACCGGAACGGCCGGCGCUGGAAUGGUUCUGCAGGACAGUUUGGGUAAGAUCAUUUUCUCAUCAUGCAGAGAACUGAGAGCAUGUGCAGAACCUUUAGAAGCCGAACUUCUAUCCUGCCUGGAGGGUUUGAACCUUGCCUUGCAGUGGACGCAGCUACCUAUUGAAGUGGAGACAGACUGUCGUGUUGCUCUUAAGAUGAUCACAGCAGUGGACAGAGAUCGAUCCCGUUACUCCAUGCUGGUUGACCAGAUCAGGAGGCUUAUGUCGGAAGGGAGAGUAGUUAAGCUAGCUCAUAUUUGUAGGGAGCAGAAUAGCAUCAGUCAUUAUCUAGCUAGCUUUGGUAGAACUGAAUGCCGCACGGUUGUAUGG
rnacentral:rRNA from 1 species